rnacentral:rRNA from 1 species
GACAGAGGGUGCAAACGUUGUUCGGAAUUACUGGGCGUAAAGCGCGUGUCGGCGGCCCUGCAAGUCGGAUGUGAAAUCCCACGGCUCAACCGUGGAAGUGCAUUCGAAACUGCAGGGCUAGAGUCCUGGAGAGGAAGGUGGAAUGCUUGGUGUAGAGGUGAAAUUCGUAGAUAUCAAGCGGAACACUGGUGGCGAAGGCGGCCUUCUGGACAGUGACUGACGCUGAGACGCGAAAGCGUGGGGAGCAAACAGG